UUAACUAAAACCAAAAAGAGGUAAAUUAUUGUUAAUAAUCUAAUUGAAAUAAUUAUUCUAGUUAAA
rnacentral:tRNA from 1 species